rnacentral:rRNA from 1 species
GAUCCUGGCUCAGGACGAACGCUGGCGGCGUGCUUAACACAUGCAAGUCGAACGAAGAACGAUGGAAGCUUGCUUCUAUCAAUCUUAGUGGCGAACGGGUGAGUAACGCGUAAUCAACCUGCCCUUCAGAGGGGGACGAACAGUUGGAAACGACUGCUAAUACCGCAUACGGUCUGACCUCGGCAUCGAGGAUAGAUGAAAGGUGGCCUCUAUUUAUAAGCUAUCACUGAAGGAGGGGA